rnacentral:rRNA from 1 species
UACGGAGGGGGCUAGCGUUGUUCGGAAUUACUGGGCGUAAGGCGCACGUAGGCGGCUUUGUAAGUUAGAGGUGAAAGCCCAGGGCUCAACCCUGGAAUUGCCUUUAAGACUGCAUCGCUUGAACAUCGGAGAGGUAAGUGGAAUUCCGAGUGUAGAGGUGAAAUUCGUAGAUAUUCGGAAGAACACCAGUGGCGAAGGCGACUUACUGGACGAUUGUUGACGCUGAGGUGCGAAAGCGUGGGGAGCAAACAGG